rnacentral:rRNA from 1 species
GAGCACGUAGGUGGGUUUGUAAGUCAGGUGUGAAAGCCUUCUGUUCAAAGGAAGAACGGCAUCUGAAACUGCAGAUCUUGAGUGUAGGAGGGGAGAGUGGAACUUCUGGUGGAGCGGUGAAAUGCGUAGAUAUCAGAAGGAACGUCGGCGGCGAAAGCGACUCUCUGGCCUAUUACUGACACUGAGGUGCGAAAGUUAGGGGAGCAAACGGGAUUAGAUACCCCGGUAGUCCUAACCGUAAACGAUGGGCACUAAGUAGAGGGAAUUACCAAUGUUCUCUCUGCCGUAGCUAACGCAUUAAGUGCCCCGCCUGGGGAGUACGGCCGCAGGGCUAAAACUCAAAAGAAUUGACGGGGGCUCGCACAAGCGGUGGAGCAUGUGGCUUAAUUCGAUGCAACGCGAAAAACCUUACCGGGGUUUGACAUGGUAGAAGUAGGAGCCCGAAAGGGUAACCAACGGUAUCCAGUCCGUAACUAUCACAGGUGUUGCAUGGCUGUCGUCAGCUCGUGUCGUGAGACGUUGGGUUAAGUCCCCUAACGAGCGAAACCCUUGUUUUUAGUUACCAUCGGGUUAUGCCGGGUACUCUAGAAAGACUGCCGUCGUCAAGACGGAGGAAGGUGGGGAUGACGUCAAGUCAUCAUGGCCCUUAUACCCCGGGCUGCACACGUGCUACAAUGGUCGGUACAAAAGGAAGCAAGACCGAGAGGUGAAGCGAAUCC